UAAACACGAGUGCAUUAUAUAUUUUAUUAAAUAGUAUAACUACCCUCCUAAAACACCCCUGACACCCCUAUAUAUCCUAAAAUACACCCCGUAUACGAAAAACAACCCCGUAAUACCUUUAUUUCAUUAAAAAUCAAAUAAAACAAAUUCUGGUGGGCGCUCGCGGGCCGCGACCAUGUUGGUUGUGUGCUUCGCGGGGCGCGACAGAUGGCCACCAGGCCAGACCACGUUGUGCCACGUGUCGGGCAGCGUGUCAAAGCUAGUCCUUGAGUCAGCAAAGCUAGGGCCUACUCUAUAAGCCCUCGCAGGCCGCGAAGCCUUGUGCUUAAGCUCUCGCGGGGCGCGAGCCGCCCCUGAUCAGACCCUAUAAAUAGAGAGUUCGAGUUUCAGUUUCAAAUCGUUCACGAAUCGACUUUUUCUCUCAAAAUUCUAUAUAAUAGAAAUUCUGCUCGGGUAUUAUACCCACUAAAAAGCGAAGCUCUGCCUCGUUGUAAGUAUCAUAACCCCCGGUUACGUAUUAGUUACUCUGCUCGAUUAAUCUAGAACUCCGUAACUCAUGUCAAGGCUCUGCCUGACUCAGUCGUUGGAGUUCUGUCUCGGGGGGAGGGUAUAGCUAAUGUAAAUUGGGUUAUUAUACUAACGCGUGUGCAUUGUUUAUUUUAAAUAGAUUAUAACCAGGAAGUUACCAGGAAUUAUCUAAAAUAGCAGUGUGAGUAAUCCUCCUUUUUGCAAACUGUUUUUUAAAACCUCAAUUGUUUUUACAUUAUAAUUAACAAUGAUUGGGUAUUUGUAAUUCUACAAUUAUCGUCAGUAUGUUGGGGUUUUGUAUACAAAAUUUGUUAAUACACUGUGAGUAGUAACAUGACCACAAGUCGGGUUGACAGUAUCGUGGGUGGUAAUUAAGGUAGAAAAAUAAACAAAUGUAAUUGCGAGAUCGCCCUCAAUGCUGUAAAAUGAUAAAACAUGUUUUGAUUAAAUUGAGAUUCACUCGCCAGUAUUUCUUGCUGAUAAAAUAUUUUAAACACUUGUUUUAGGUAACUUAGUGUGAAGCCAAUAAAAGCCAGCUGGAGAGUAUUGAAGGCUUAGAAAAGUGGCUAUAAAAGUUACCUAAUUAAAAAGGAGAAUUGUUUUCAAUAAUUAGGGUUUAUCCCUAUAAAUGUAUUGUAAAGAAAACUUGGGUUUUAUCUCAUUUAUAUAUUUUAAACAUUUUGAUGUUUAACUCUGAUAAAAAUAUUUCCUAACUACGGUACUGAUGAAAAUUCUGGCUGCCAAAUUAAUAAACACCGAUACCAUCUGACUGGUUUGCGGCUCCCGCUCCCAGGGUGGGGUCGGGGGCUGUGACAAAAAGGUCUUUUCUUUAAACCUCUGUCGACUAGUUCCAAACAUCUGUAGAUGUUUGGUCUUCAUCAUCAAUGCUUUGUCUUCAAUAGGGCUUUGGUCUUUGAACAGAUGUUCUUUCCUCCUCAACAGUGCUUUCCAGUUUUCAACAGUGCUUUGUGAUCUUCGAAUGGAUAAUCUGUUAGUUUAACAAAAACUGUAGUGGUAGUGGUAGUGGUAAGUAGUGGUAGUAGUGGUAGUAAGUGGUAGUAAGUGGUAGUGGUAGUAGUAGUGGUCGUGGUAGCAGUGGUCGUGGUAGCAGUGGUCGUGGUCGUAGUGGUCGUGGUAGUAGCGGUAGUAGCGGUAGUAGCCACAGAAGCGGCAGAAGCCGCAGAAGCAGCAGCAGCGACAGUAGUAGUAGUAUAAUUGUAUCGAAAAAAAGUUAAAUUGGUUAACGGGUCAAUCCGAACACGGCCUAAUUUUUAAAACGGGUCAAUCCAAAUACAAUCCGCUUUUCAAUACGGGUCAUUUUAGUCGACCCAAAACCUUUAUAUU
rnacentral:lncRNA from 1 species